rnacentral:rRNA from 1 species
GACGAACGCUGGCGGCGUGCUUAACACAUGCAAGUCGAACGGAAAGGCCCUGCUUUUGUGGGGUGCUCGAGUGGCGAACGGGUGAGUAACACGUGAGUAACCUGCCCUUGACUUUGGGAUAACUUCAGGAAGCUGGGGCUAAUACCGGAUAGGAGCUCCUGCUGCAUGGUGGGGGUUGGAAAGUUUCGGCGGUUGGGGAUGGACUCGCGGCUUAUCAGCUUGUUGGUGGGGUAGUGGCUUACCAAGGCUUUGACGGGUAGCCGGCCUGAGAGGGUGACCGGCCACAUUGGGACUGAGAUACGGCCCAGACUCCAACGGGAGGCAGCAGUGGGGAAUAUUGCACAAUGGGCGGAAGCCUGAUGCAGCAACGCCGCGUGCGGGAUGACGGCCUUCGGGUUGUAAACCGCUUUCGCCUGUGACGAAGCGUGAGUGACGGUAAUGGGUAAAGAAGCACCGGCUAACUACGUG